rnacentral:rRNA from 1 species
GGUGAACGCUGGCGGCGUGCCUAAGACAUGCAAGUCGAGCGGGGCAGGUUUAUACCUGUUCAGCGGCGGACGGGUGAGUAACGCGUGGGUGACCUACCCGGAAGAGGCGGACAACCUGGGGAAACCCAGGCUAAUCCGCCAUGUGGUCCUGUCCUGUGGGGCAGGACUAAAGGGUGGAUAGCCCGCUUCCGGAUGGGCCCGCGUCCCAUCAGCUAGUUGGUGGGGUAAAGGCCCACCAAGGCGACGACGGGUAGCCGGUCUGAGAGGAUGGCCGGCCACAGGGGCACUGAGAACCGGGCCCGAGACCUACGGGAGGCAGCAGUGAGGGAUCGUCCGCAAGGAGCGCAAGCCUGGCGGAGCGACGUCGCUUGGAGGAGGAAGGCGUUCGGGGUGUGAACUCGUGAACUGGGGCCGAAAGCCCCGUGUAGGGAGAUGACGGUACCCAGGUAAUAGCGCCGGCCAACUCCGUG